GAUGAACGCUAGCUACAGGCUUAACACAUGCAAGUCGAGGGGCAGCAUGAACUUAGCUUGCUAAGUUUGAUGGCGACCGGCGCACGGGUGAGUAACACGUAUCCAACCUUCCGUUUACUCAGGGAUAGCCUUUCGAAAGAAAGAUUAAUACCUGAUAGUAUGGUGAGAUUGCAUGAUAACACCAUUAAAGAUUUAUUGGUAAACGAUGGGGAUGCGUUCCAUUAGGUAGUAGGCGGGGUAACGGCCCACCUAGCCUGCGAUGGAUAGGGGUUCUGAGAGGAAGGUCCCCCACAUUGGAACUGAGACACGGUCCAAACUCCUACGGGAGGCAGCAGUGAGGAAUAUUGGUCAAUGGGGCGAGAGCCUGAACCAGCCAAGUAGCGUGAAGGAUGAAGGUCCUACGGAUUGUAAACUUCUUUUAUACGGGAAUAAAGUAUCCUACGUGUAGGAUUUUGUAUGUACCGUAUGAAUAAGCAUCGGCUAACUCCGUG
rnacentral:rRNA from 1 species